UCCAGGGGGAGGGGAGGCUGCAGCGGGGUCCCUCGGCGUGUGCCGAGGGCUGUGGGUCCUGCCCCCGCCGCGUGCGUUGCCCACGGCACGGAGCGUUUGGUGACUCAGCCCAGGCUCACGUUAUUUCUCCCCGUGCCGAGGGCUCCCCGGGCUGCCAGUGCCCCAGCCCCGCUGCACGGGGCUGCUGCCGCCCGCCUCCCCCAGCUCCGGCACCUCAGGGUGCUGGCACCUCUCAGCGCUGACGCGUGCCAGACGGGCGAUCCUCUGCAAAGCCUCCGAGCAGCCAGCAAAUCAUGGGACGCCUUGUAGGAGGUGCUGCUAUCACAGUGAAUGAUUUAUGAGCUAUUUUGGAAGUGGAGCUGGAGCCCUUGGAGUCAAGCUGUCUUCUCUUUCAAGGCAUCGUGCGUGUUACAGAGUCAAACCCAGGACUUCUCAGUGGUUAGGGGUGCCCUCUCCCGCGGCCUGUUCAUCACCUGCUCGCUCCAAUUGCUGGUAAAACCGAACCGUGGCAAUGCAGAAGGCUACGCAGCGAACGGUGGCGAAGGAGGAGGAAGGCCUGUGUGCCAAGAGGACGGGUGGCUUUACGGGACUGCCUCCGGCUGCGGCACGCUCGGAGCAUCAGCCUGGCGUUUCUACAAACGCUUCGUACCGCUUCCUUCACAAGGAGGCGGCUGGUCUGCGCAGAGCAGCCCAGUUAGCAAGCAACAGCUUUCUGUCUUCGCGUCGGUGGAGCUGGACUGGAGGGACCCGCGUGCGAGUGUGCCGCCAGCCCAGCCGGCGGAGACCUGGGACCCC
rnacentral:lncRNA from 1 species